CCCUUAGAUGUCCUGGGCCGCACGCGCGCUACACUGACAUGUUCAACAAGCCUCCUAGUUCGACAGGAUUUGGGAAAUCUUUGAACGCAUGUCGUGAUAGGAUAGAUCAUUGCAAUUAUUGAUCUUGAACGAGGAAUUCCUAGUAAACGCGAGUCAUCAGCUCGCAUUGAUUACGUCCCUGCCCUUUGUACACACCGCCCGUCGCACCUACCGAUUGAAUGUUUCGGUGAAGAUUCCGGAUAGGACUUUUUUGAUUUAUUUCAAUUUUGUCUUAAAAGCUAUCUAAACCUCAACAUUUAGAGGAAGGUGAAGUCGUAACA
rnacentral:rRNA from 1 species